AGGAUGAACGCUGGCGGCGUGCCUAAUACAUGCAAGUCGAGCGGUAACACUUCGGGUGACGAGCGGCGGACGGCUGAGUAACGCGUAGGAAUGUACCCCAAACUGAGGGAUAAGCACCAGAAAUGGUGUCUAAUACCGCAUGUGAUCUUCGGAUUAAAGCUUCGGCGGUUUGGGAACGGCCUGCGUAUGAUUAGCUUGUUGGUGAGGUAAAAGCUCACCAAGGCGACGAUCAUUAGCUGGUCUGAGAGGAUGAUCAGCCAGACUGGGACUGAGACACGGCCCAGACUCCUACGGGAGGCAGCAGUAGGGAAUCUUCCACAAUGGGCGAAAGCCUGAUGGAGCAACGCCGCGUGCAGGAUGAAAGCCUUCGGGUCGUAAACUGCUUUUAUAUGCGAAGACUUCGACGGUAGCAUAUGAAUAAGGAUCGGCUAACUCCGUGCCAGCAGCCGCGGU
rnacentral:rRNA from 1 species